UGUGAGCGGCGGACGAGCGAGUACACGUUGGAACCUGCCCCAAACUCAGGGAUAACAUCUAGAAAUAGGUGCUAAUACCGGAUAGUCCCGCAAGGGUAAAGAUUUUUCGGUUUGGGAGGGGCCUGCGUACUAUCAGCUAGUUGGUAAGGUAAUGGCUUACCAAGGCUAUGACGGUUAACUGGUCUGAGAGGAUGAUCAGUCGCGAUGGGACUGAGACACGGCCCAUACUCCUACGGGAGGCAGCAGUAAGGAAUCUUCCACAAUGGACGAAAGUCUGAUGGAGCAACACCGCGUGAUCGAUGAAGCCUUUAGGGGUGUAAAGAUCUUUUCUGAGAGAAGAACUCUGACGGUAUCUUAGGAAUAAGCACCGGCUAACUCCGUGCCAGCAGCCGCGGUAAUACGGAGGGUGCAAGCGUUACCCGGAAUCAUUGGGCGUAAAGCGUCCGCAGGCGGUUUGUUAAGUAAGAUGUUAAAUUUUCCAGCUCAACUGGAAAUCUAUGUCUUAAACUGGCAAACUAGAGUAUUACAGAGGUGUGCAGAAUUCUGUGUGUAGGGGUAAAAUCCGUAGAUACACAGAGGAAUACCAAAAGCGAAGGCAGCACACUGGGUAAUUACUGACGCUCAGGGACGAAAGCGUGGGGAGCGAACGGGAUUAGAUACCCCGGUAGUCCACGCCGUAAACGAUGGAUACUAGGUGUUGGGAGACUCGACCCUUCCGGUGCCGAUGCUAACGCAUUAAGUAUCCCGCCUGGGAAGUACGGUCGCAAGAUUAAAACUCAAAGGAAUAGACGGGGACCCACACAAGCGGUGGAGCAUGUGGUUUAAUUCGAUGAUAAGCGAGGAACCUUACCCAGACUUGACAUCCCGAGAAUUUUCCAGAAAUGGAAAAGUGCCGCAAGGAACUCGGUGACAGGUGCUGCAUGGUUGUCGUCAGCUCGUGCCUUGAGGUGUUCGGUUAAGUCCGUGAACGAGCGCAACCCUUGUCUUGUGUUGUAUGUUUCACAAGAGACUGCCGACUUUAAGUCGGAGGAAGGUAAGGAUGACGUCAAAUCAGCAUG
rnacentral:rRNA from 1 species